UACGUAGGGGGCAAGCGUUAUCCGGAAUGAUUGGGCGUAAAGCGUCCGCAGGUGGCAAUGUAAGUCUGCUGUUAAAGAGUCUAGCUCAACUAGAUAAAAGCAGUGGAAACUACAUAGCUAGAGUACGUUCGGGGCAGAGGGAAUUUCCGGUGGAGCGGUGAAAUGCGUAGAGAUCGGAAAGAACACCAACGGCGAAAGCACUCUGCUGGGCCGACACUGACACUGAGACACGAAAGCCAGGGGAGCAAACGGG
rnacentral:rRNA from 1 species